AGUGAACGCUGGCGGUAGGCCUAACACAUGCAAGUCGAACGGCAGCACAGGAGAGCUUGCUCUCUGGGUGGCGAGUGGCGGACGGGUGAGGAAUACAUCGGAAUCUACUCUGUCGUGGGGGAUAACGUAGGGAAACUUACGCUAAUACCGCAUACGACCUACGGGUGAAAGCAGGGGACCUUCUGGCCUUGCGCGAUUGAAUGAGCCGAUGUCGGAUUAGCUAGUUGGCGGGGUAAAGGCCCACCAAGGCGACGAUCCGUAGCUGGUCUGAGAGGAUGAUCAGCCACACUGGAACUGAGACACGGUCCAGACUCCUACGGGAGGCAGCAGUGGGGAAUAUUGGACAAUGGGCGCAAGCCUGAUCCAGCCAUACCGCGUGGGUGAAGAAGGCCUUCGGGUUGUAAAGCCCUUUUGUUGGGAAAGAAAUCCAGCUGGCUAAUACCCGGUUGGGUUGACGGUACCCAAAGAAUAAGCACCGGCUAACUUCGUGCCAGCAGCCGCGGUAA
rnacentral:rRNA from 1 species